rnacentral:rRNA from 1 species
GACAGAGGGUGCAAACGUUGUUCGGAAUCACUGGGCGUAAAGCGCGUGUAGGCGGCUCGGUAAGUCGGGUGUGAAAUCCCAGGGCUCAACCCUGGAAGUGCAUUCGAAACUACUUCGCUAGAGUACUGGAGAGGAAGGUGGAAUGCUUGGUGUAGAGGUGAAAUUCGUAGAUAUCAAGCGGAACACCGGUGGCGAAGGCGGCCUUCUGGACAGAUACUGACGCUGAGACGCGAAAGCGUGGGGAGCAAACAGG